ACGCUGGCGGCGUGCCUAAUACAUGCAAGUCGAGCGAACAGAUGAGGAGCUUGCUCCUCUGACGUUAGCGGCGGACGGGUGAGUAACACGUGGAUAACCUACCUAUAAGACCGGGAUAACUUCGGGAAACCGGAGCUAAUACCGGAUAAUAUAUUGAACCGCAUGGUUCAAUAGUGAAAGACGGUUUUGCUGUCACUUAUAGAUGGAUCCGCGCCGCAUUAGCUAGUUGGUAAGGUAACGGCUUACCAAGGCAACGAUGCGUAGCCGACCUGAGAGGGUGAUCGGCCACACUGGAACUGAGACACGGUCCAGACUCCUACGGGAGGCAGCAGUAGGGAAUCUUCCGCAAUGGGCGAAAGCCUGACGGAGCAACGCCGCGUGAGUGAUGAAGGUCUUCGGAUCGUAAAACUCUGUUAUUAGGGAAGAACAAAUGUGUAAGUAACUAUGCACGUCUUGACGGUACCUAAUCAGAAAGCCACGGCUAACUACGUGCCAGCAGCCGCGGUAAUACGUAGGUGGCAAGCGUUAUCCGGAAUUAUUGGGCGUAAAGCGCGCGUAGGCGGUUUUUUAAGUCUGAUGUGAAAGCCCACGGCUCAACCGUGGAGGGUCAUUGGAAACUGGAAAACUUGAGUGCAGAAGAGGAAAGUGGAAUUCCAUGUGUAGCGGUGAAAUGCGCAGAGAUAUGGAGGAACACCAGUGGCGAAGGCGACUUUCUGGUCUGUAACUGACGCUGAUGUGCGAAAGCGUGGGGAUCAAACAGGAUUAG
rnacentral:rRNA from 1 species